UUGAAGAUGGCUCUUCAGGUUGGGGACACGCCUUUGUUAAGGGGCAAGACUGCUGCCUGGAGUUGAUUCACAUACUCAGAGGUCUGAGGAAGAGCAUAUGGCUGUCUCUCUUGGAAUGGGGAGAGAUAUUCAUGUCCCACAUAAAUGAGCACCAGAGAGAGCCCACUGCAGAAAAGGAGCUCAAUCAAGUAGACAGAGUUUUCACUUGUUGCCCAGGCUGGAGUGCAAUGGCACGAUCUCGGGUCACCACAACCUCUGCCUCCGGGGUUCAUGCAAUUCUCCUGCCUCAGCCUCCUGAGUAGCUAGAAUUACAGGCAUGCGCGACAACACCCAGCUAAUUUUGUAUUUUUAGUAGAGAUGGGGUUUCUCCAUGUUGGUCAGGUUGGUCUGGAACUCCCGACCUCAGGUGAUCCGCCCGUCUCGGCCUCCCAAAGUGCUGGGAUUACAGGUGUGAGCCACCGUGCCCGGCAGUAACUGACUUACUUCUAACGAAUAGAAUAUUGCAAAAGUGAUGGGAUGUCACAUCUGAGAUUAGGUUAUAAAGACUAUGAGUUCUGUCUGGCAUGUGGGCACUCUCCUUCUAUCUCUAGCUCAUCUUACUUGAUUGCUGUGAUGAAGCAAGCUGCCAUAUUGUGAGCCACCCUAUGAUAAGGUGCACGUGGCAAGGAACCUGAGAGUGACCCCCAGCCAACAGCCAGCAAGACUGAAUAUGCCAACAGCCACAUGAGUCAGCGUGAAAGCAGAUCCUUCCCCAGCCAAGCCUUGAGAUGACUGUAGCCCCAACUCACACUCUGCUGGCUGUGAGACCCUGAAAUAGAAACUCAGCUAAGUUGUGCCCAGAUUCCUAACCACAGGACUGUGAAAUAAAAUGUUGUUUU
rnacentral:lncRNA from 1 species